rnacentral:rRNA from 1 species
UACGUAGGGGGCAAGCGUUGUCCGGAUUUAUUGGGCGUAAAGAGCGUGUAGGCGGCCAUGCAGGUCCGUUGUGAAAACUCGAGGCUCAACCUCGAGACGUCGGUUGAAACCGUAUGGCUAGAGUCCGGAAGAGGAGAGUGGAAUUCCCGGUGUAGCGGUGAAAUGCGCAGAUAUCGGGAAGAACACCCGUGGCGAAGGCGGCUCUCUGGGACGGUACUGACGCUGAGACGCGAAAGCGUGGGGAGCGAACAGG